AGACAGAGAGAGAGAGAGAGAGAGAGAGAGAGAGCUCGAGGGAGAGAGAGAGAGUCCAAACUGACCCGGUUUCAAGCUUGAAAGGAAGUCUACCAGGAAACCCAGGAAGUGUCUCCACUAUGUGCUGAGAUGAAGCAGCUGAAGCAGACA